AAAUUACAUUCUCUGCGGGCGCUGAUUCAGAUAUAUUACUAUGGGCAAAGGAAGUUCAAAAUUUAUCUCAAUCAAACAUGUGCAAAGGAAAAUUCAAAAUUUGUUAUGUCAGGAAAAGAUUCUUAAACCAGUGAAGUAUCUAGAGGGCUUAUUAGGACACGGCUCAUAUUGUUUGAUACUUUACCAUCUGGGGAUUAGGCUACCGGUGAACACGACAAUGCGGCUGUUGGUCACGGAUGCCGGGGGUGUGAGCGGGGUUGAGGAGCUCACAUGGUGCUAUACAUGACGACCUGCGAGUGGUGGCAGGAGGUGGCAUGCCUGCUGCUUGGCUGGAAGUCCGACAUGAACUCCCACGACCGACUGUAAGCAUGGUACGUACCCAAUCGUCAAACUUUCUUCUUUCACCUCCUUCUUAUGUAGAAAUUAAACUUCGCUGCACACCGGACAUUCCUACUUUCAGUCAGUCAUUUCUGCCCAUUCUGAUUGUUAAUACUAAGUGUACAUGUCACCCACAUUGGACCAGUCUAUUGCAUUUGAAUUACCUUGAUCUAUGGAAAUAGUUAUAUAGGCAUGCUACGUGCAAGUGCUUAUCUAGGCAAUCCAAAGUUCAGCCUGUAGUUUUAUGCACACCAUCCCAGUCAGCAAUAGAUGCAUGGUUGCCCAUGCGUUGCCACAGAACAAUCCUACAGUGGGGCAGUGCUAUCCUAAAGUGGGGAUGAGAGGAUUCAGCGGCUGCACCGGUGGCUUGUCUAUCUCCAGGAGAUGGAGCGCGCCGCCUCAUCGAUGUGGGAGCUGCAUUGCACUAACAGGGCACGAUGCCUCAUGGAUGCGGGAGCUGCAGUGCACUAUUUAAGAGUUCAAAAGCAUGAAGGAGGAAAUUACCUACAAGUGUUUAAGAUCACGAAGGAGGAUGUCAAAGUUUUCCAUUGUCAAGGACUUGUGAGCAAGUAGUAUAUGGACUUCACUCUGAUUCUAAUGAAAAAGUUGGCUAUCUGAUUCUAAAAAUAAGAGCAGAAAAUAAUAGAGAUGUAUCUACAUGUGUGUGCAUUAAAAUUCAUUUUUUUCUGUUAGUCGAGGUUAUAACCUUUCAAACUUUACUUAUCCAGGUUGUGAAGACCUUCCAGCAUUACCCCAGGAAGCUAACACAUCAGCUUGUGCCAUACGUGGUGUUUUCUUGUUGAUGAAUGUUGGUCUAGGUAAUUUCUUUGAUGAACCAUGUGACAAUUAAUAAAGUUAAUAAAGGACAGCAUACUCUUUUUGUCUGCCUUGAUCGCAGUGGGGCGGGGGUGAGGCGUUGGAGAGAGAGGCGGGGCAAUGGUGCAUGCGUGCAGUGCGUCUGGACGACAGAAUGCAUGAUCGAGUGAUCGGUGUGGUGGUUGGCGGUGCUUGGGCAUUGAUGUUCAAUUUGAGAGGAAGAAGAAAGAUUAGCUGCUGAUUUUGGGGUAAGAAGAGAGAUUGAGCGUGUUGUUGUUGUCGUGUGUGGUCUUGGGAGAGGAAUAAAAGAGAGUAGUAAAGAGCUGUAGAGAGAUAGCGAGGGAUUGAGAGGCUACUACUAUUUUUUAUUGUUGUCGAUGCACAAUGCUAUUUCUUAUUAUACUGGGGUAUUCAUCUUUGNNNN
rnacentral:lncRNA from 1 species